CUUGUACACACCGCCCGUCACACCAUGGGAGUCAGUAACGCCCGAAGUCAGUGACCCAACCAAUCAGGAGGGAGCUGCCGAAGGUGGGACCGAUAACUGGGGUGAAGUCGUAACAAGGUAUC
rnacentral:rRNA from 1 species